rnacentral:pre_miRNA from 15 species
AUCUUUGGUUAUCUAGCUGUAUGAGUGGUGUGGAGUCUUCAUAAAGCUAGAUAACAAAAAAG